UAACACACAGCUCAGACACCCAUCCAUACCCCACAAGACAUGCCACCAGAGGUCUGUUUAAACUACUAGCACACAGCUCAGACACCCAUACAUACCCCACAAGACAUGCCACCAGAGGUCUGUUUAAACUACUAGCACACAGCUCAGACACCCAUUCAUACCCCACAAGACAUGCCACCAGAGGUCUGUUUAAACUACUAGCACACAGCUCAGACACCCACCCAUACCCCACAAGACAUGCCACCAGAGGUCUGUUUAAACUACUAG
ensembl:lncRNA